rnacentral:hammerhead_ribozyme from 1 species
AUCCAGCUGACGAGUCUCAAGUAAGACGAAACACACGUAAAGCUGGAU